GCUUCCUACGGGAGGCAGCAGUGGGGAAUAUUGGACAAUGGGCGAAAGCCUGAUCCAGCAAUACCGCGUGUGUGAAGAAGGCCUUCGGGUUGUAAAGCACUUUAAGCAGGGAAGAAAAAACUCAAACUAAUAUUUUGAGUCUUGACGGUACCUGAAGAAUAAGCACCGGCUAACUCUGUGCCAGCAGCCGCGGUAAUACAGAGGGUGCAAGCGUUAAUCGGAUUUACUGGGCGUAAAGCGUGUGUAGGUGGUUGGGAAAGUCAAUUGUGAAAGCCCCGGGCUCAACUCGGGAACUGCUUUUGAUACUGUCUGACUAGAAUUCGGUAGAGGGAGGCGGAACUCCAGGUGUAGCGGUGAAAUGCGUAGAUAUCUGGAAGAACACCAAUGGCGAAGGCAACCUCCUGGGCCUGAAUUGACACUGAGACACGAAAGCGUGGGGAUCAAACAGGAUUAGAUACCCUGGUAGUCCACGCCGUAAACGAUGACAACUUGACGUCGGUUUGCUCUGCGAAUCGGUGUCGUAGCUAACGCGAUAAGUUGUCCGCCUGGGGAGUACGGCCGCAAGGUUGAAACUCAAA
rnacentral:rRNA from 1 species